UACGAAGGGGGCUAGCGUUGUUCGGAAUUACUGGGCGUAAAGCGCACGUAGGCGGAUACUUAAGUUAGGGGUGAAAUCCCAGAGCUCAACUCUGGAACUGCCUCUAAUACUGGGUAUCUCGAGUUCGAGAGAGGUGAGUGGAAUUCCGAGUGUAGAGGUGAAAUUCGUAGAUAUUCGGAGGAACACCAGUGGCGAAGGCGGCUCACUGGCUCGAUACUGACGCUGAGGAGCGAAAGCGUGGGGAGCAAACAGG
rnacentral:rRNA from 1 species